AUGUCUCUCUACAACAUGGAAGUUGUAAGUAAACCGAAGUCCAAUAAUUACCGAAGAUACGACACCCCAAAGUUAAUGCGACCCUGCCUGAAAAGUUUUCGAUGUUGCCAUACACAGCUGGAGUUUUGGGACUGAUAAUCAGCUGAUUUUUCAAUCUUCCAAGAUAACAUGGAUGUCACCAUAUUUGUGUUUUCCUAAUAAAACUAUGAAUUUUUAUACAA